CCAAAUUUGAGAAAUCCCUAACUUGAACAAAAAGAGGCAGCGACGCAUUUCUCCCUCAAUCUCACGCCUCCUCCGGCGAAAACGGCGCCACUCCAUGUCGCCGGAGCAUGCCCUCUCCUCCUUCUCCAUUUCUCUUUUCCUCCAAUUUAGCUCUUAAAUUCCAAUUUAAAAUUCCUAAAUUAGAAAUUAAGGAAAUGCAUGCAGCGGCUUCUCCCCCAAUUCGCCGCCGCCGUUCCUCACUCUCUCCGGCGAGUCCUCCAAAAUUGGUUUCUCAUUUUCGAGCUUUCUUCCUUGGCCUACCUCCACCGUUUCUUAUUCUCAAAAUUUCCAGAUUUGUAACCCCUAGAUCGGAGAACCGGGAAGCACGCCUCCUCCGUCCUUGUCUCCAGCCGAUCGACGAGCAGACCCGCCGGAGCUCCACCACGCUUCCUUCGCCAGGCAGCCAUGGCGCUCACCAGAGGCUCACGCAUGAUUCUCCCGUCUCGCGCUGGCAACUCGCGUCAGCUCCCUCCAUCUUGCGUCCUCCGUUGAGCUCUCCGGGAGGCAGCGACACCGGCGGCUUCACGGCGCCACCGUCUGCCUCCACUGUUUCUGUCCGCCGCGGACAGCCCCACACGCAAGCUAAGUCACCCUUCCCCACCCCUUUACUUACUUUAUUUGUGUUGUGGCAGUAAACAUGUUGAGAAUUUCUUAUUGGAAUCUUGUGGAGAAUUAUAUCUCACUGGAAUGAGUCUUUGCACCUAUAUGUUACUCUAUUCUCUAUUGACUGUUAUGCCUUGGUUCCUAAAGUUCAUAUCUUUGGCAAAUGUGGUUAUCUCAAGGACCUCCUAAGUGAUCAUGCUUCUGUGAUUCUAAGUUCUGGAAUUGAUCAUGUGGCUGUUCUAUAUGAUGCAAAGGGUGGUGUUGGGAUUACCUAGCUUGAUGAUUCCUCGGAUGGGGACCGAUGUCCUGCCUCAACUCUUCCUUGCUCCUCCUCUACUCCUUGUUAUGCUUCUUGAAUUAUUUUGAGUGAAUUUGUGGUAUCGAAAAAUGAGGGAAGGAGAAGGGAGAUGAGGCUGCUUAUAUAGUGCUCUAUCUUUGGCUAUUUGUGUUUGAAACUUGGAGGCAAAGGCUCCUAUUUUGGGGCUGCCAGCUCUACCUCUUUUGAGCUUGUAAGUAGGUUUCCAUGCCUAUUCUUGUGUAUAUCUUGGAGGCUAGUAUCUUGGUUGUUUCUCCCGCCUUGGAUGAUGGAAGAAGAGAAUCUGCUACUCUAUUGUGGACUUAGGCGAUGGCUUCUCAUGGAAGAUUCUAUUAUCUCAAAUUCUAGUGGAGAGAUGUUUCCUUGGCUGUCAAGUUGGAGCUUAGUAGAGCAAGUACCGAGGUGGAAGAGGGUGGAGUAAGAGGAAGAGAAUCUAUCCUUGUAGCUCUUUGGUUUCUAUACCAAAUUAGCUUACUUCCAAACUUUCUUACUAGAGUUAGUAGGAUGAAUGGUGGAUGAUAGGUGUGUAUUUUCACUUUCACAUAUGUAAGCAUGUGCUAUUUGUAUCUCCAAUAUUCUUGUAUUUUUAUUCCUCAAAGUAGUUAUCUAAUAGAAGUAUAGCCUUUACUUUUA